UUUAACCGGCAUUUGUAUUAACUUUCUCUAUAAAUGAUGUAACGUUGGUAUAUGAGGAAGGCAUAAAUUGUUACACAGCACAGCGGUGCGGUGUAACGACCCAGUAAGUCAAAUGAACUCGUACAAAACCUUACACAAUUCACUCAUCCUUUGUAAAUCAAUCAACACGUUUUUCCCGGGGCAACGCCUUUGUUCAGUUCACUUAGAACGUGAUUUUCAUGACUACACAUUGUUAUUGUUGGCGCCAGCGAGAACAUUCAAAGGGACACGUCUAAAAUGGCUGUGUCUUUGUGGCAGAGAUAAAGUGGUGUAUAUAAGAUCAUUGAUGGGUCCAUGUGUUUUCAGAUUUCUACUGUAGCCUGAAAGGGUUGUGUUCAAGUGACAAAGUUCAAGAUCAAAGAAACAGAUCACGGGUGGAUGCGUUUUUCAAAUAUGGAAUAUCAAAUGGUUACCAUGGAAACGUACGCCUACAUCUAAGUAGUGGUAUGAAUGGAUGACAGACGUCCAGAUGUACAGUUAUACAGCAGAUGAAGCACAUGAGCCGUGCC
rnacentral:lncRNA from 1 species